rnacentral:rRNA from 1 species
GACGAACGCUGGCGGCGUGCUUAACACAUGCAAGUCGAACGGAAAGGCCCUGCUUUUGUGGGGUGCUCGAGUGGCGAACGGGUGAGUAACACGUGAGUAACCUGCCCUUGACUUUGGGAUAACUUCAGGAAACUGGGGCUAAUACCGGAUAUGAGCCCCUGCUGCAUGGGGGGGGUUGGAAAGUUUCGGCGGUUGGGUAUGGACUCGCGGCUUAUCAGCUUGUUGGUGGGGUAGUGGCUUACCAAGGCUUUGACGGGUAGCCGGCCUGAGAGGGUGACCGGCCACAUUGGGACUGAGAUACGGCCCAGACUCCUACGGGAGGCAGCAGUGGGGAAUAUUGCACAAUGGGCGGAAGCCUGAUGCAGCAACGCCGCGUGCGGGAUGACGGCCUUCGGGUUGUAAACCGCUUUCGCCUGUGACGAAGCGUGAGUGACGGUAAUGGGUAAAGAAGCACCGGCUAACUACGUG